rnacentral:rRNA from 1 species
GACGAACGCUGGCGGCGUGCCUAAUACAUGCAAGUCGAACGAACCGCGACUAAGUGCUUGCACUAAGUCAAGGUGAGUGGCGAACGGGUGAGUAACACGUGGGUAACCUACCUCAUAGUGGGGGAUAACAGUCGGAAACGACUGCUAAUACCGCAUAGGACAUAGAAUCACAUGAUCCAGUGAGGAAAGGUGGCGCAAGCUAUCGCUAAGAGAUGGACCCGCGGUGCAUUAGCUAGUUGGUAGGGUAAAGGCCUACCAAGGCGAUGAUGCAUAGCCGACCUGAGAGGGUGAUCGGCCACAUUGGGACUGAGACACGGCCCAAACUCCUACGGGAGGCAGCAGUAGGGAAUCUUCCGCAAUGGACGCAAGUCUGACGGAGCAACGCCGCGUGAGUGAAGAAGGUCUUCGGAUCGUAAAGCUCUGUUGUUAGAGAAGAACAGCGCAUAGAGUAACUGCUAUGCGUGUGACGGUAUCUAACCAGAAAGCCACGGCUAACUACGUG